rnacentral:rRNA from 1 species
UUGAAAUCUGAGGCUCUCAGCCCCCGAGUUGUAAUUUGAAGAUGGUGUUCUGGCGCCGGCCCCCUGUCUACGUUCCUUGGAACAGGACAUCACAGAGGGUGAGAAUCCCGUCUGGCGGGGCGGCCUGGCUCCGUGUAGAGCGCCAUCGACGAGUCGAGUUGUUUGGGAAUGCAGCUCUAAGUGGGUGGUAAAUUCCAUCUAAAGCUAAAUAUUGGCGAGAGACCGAUAGCGAACAAGUACAGUGAUGGAAAGAUGAAAAGAACUUUGAAAAGAGAGUGAAAAAGUACGUGAAAUUGUUGAAAGGGAA